rnacentral:rRNA from 1 species
GGCCUUGACAUACUAAGAACUUUCCAGAGAUGGAUUGGUGCCUUCGGGAACUUAGAUACAGGUGCUGCAUGGCUGUCGUCAGCUCGUGUCGUGAGAUGUUGGGUUAAGUCCCGNAACGAGCGCAACCCUUUUCCUAUUUGCCAGCGGGUCAUGCCGGGAACUUUAAGGAUACUGCCAGUGACGAACUGGAGGAAGGCGGGGACGACGUCAAGUCAUCAUGGCCCUUACGGCCAGGGCUACACACGUGCUACAAUGGUCGGUACAAACCGGGUUGCUACCUCGCGAGAGGAUGCUAAUCUCAAAAAGCCGAUCGUAGUCCGGAUCGCAGUCUGCAACUCGACUGCGUGAAGUCGGAAUCGCUAGUAAUCGCGGAUCAGAAUGCCGCGGUGAAUACGUUCCCGGGCCUUGUACACACCGCCCGUCACACCAUGGGAGUUUGUUGCACCAGAAGUAGGUAGUCUAACCGCAAGGAGGACGCUUACCACGGUGUGGCCGAUGACUGGGGUGAAGUCGUAACAAGGUAAGCGUAGAUGA